rnacentral:rRNA from 1 species
UACGGGGGGGGCAAGCGUUGUUCGGAAUUACUGGGCGUAAAGGGCUCGUAGGCGGCCAACUCAGUCGGACGUGAAAUCCCUCGGCUUAACCGGGGAACUGCGUCCGAUACUGGAUGGCUUGAGUGUGGGAGAGGGAUGCGGAAUUCCAGGUGUAGCGGUGAAAUGCGUAGAUAUCUGGAGGAACACCGGUGGCGAAGGCGGUUCUCUGGGCCGUUACCUGACGCUGAGGAGCGAAAGCGUGGGGAGCGAACAGG